ACAUUCGUCUAAUAAGGGGCUUCCGAUGCAGACUGGGACGAAAAUUUGUAGAUGCCACAAAUAAGAAGGAGAAGGCGGUUACUUAUACAGUUCACGGCUUCCCCAUUGCCAUGCAGGUACUACACACAAAUUUUGUACAACGUAUUCAUUAUUUCAUCAGAAAUGUAUUGUCAUUGGUUCCUUUAAUGUUCAACUCACAGUUACUAUCUGCUGUAACAGAUCUGGGCAUUCGAGGCAAUACCAGAAAUUGGGGAUAGGUUUGCUCGACGAUUGGGUCAUCAAUCCCCACGGCUUCUGAGUUGGACGUGUACCAAACAGU
rnacentral:lncRNA from 1 species